UCUCCGUUGGUGAACCAGCGGAGGGAUCAUUACAGAGUUGAAAAACUCCCUAACCCUUUGUUUACAUACCUGUCCCGUUGCUUCGGCAGGCGGCCCCAGGGCGGGGCCUCCAGCCUGCGUUAGCAGGUGUCUGCCGCUGGCGAAAAACUCUUUAGUUAUAUGUACUGCUCUGAGUCACACAAAAAAAUGAAUCAAAACUUUCAACAACGGAUCUCUUGGUUCUGGCAUCGAUGAAGAACGCAGC
rnacentral:misc_RNA from 1 species